rnacentral:lncRNA from 1 species
CGGCCUUUAUGUUUAAUAUCUCAUUUAAUCCACACAGUGAGCCUAUGAGGUAGGGACAACUGUAAUUCAAUUUUAUACAAAAGGAAAAUGAGACUCACAGUAAGCCAUCCCAGGUUUCACAGCUAGUUGGUGGCAGAGCCAGGAUUGUCCCUGACAUGUGUGCCUGAGAUUCCUGGAGCCCUGGCCUGUGAGCCCGAGACCCCUGGAGCCCUGGCCUGUGUGCCUGAGAGCCUGGAGCCCUGGCCUGUGAAUCUGAGAGCCCUGGAGCCCUGGCCUGUGAGCCUGAGAUUCCCGGAGCCGUGGCCUGUGAGCCCGAGAACCCUGGAGCCCUGGCCCUCAGCUUGUCUCUGGUUUCUACAUGCAGACCCUGCAGUUGGCCAGGCCCUCCUCAGUACACUAUUGGGUGUAUACCUAGCAGCAGGGCCUGCUGUGCCUGCAUCCUCUCACGCUCCUCCUGCAGCUCUUGCCUGGCCUUUUCCUCCAAGGCCUGGAGCUCCAGUCGGUGUGUCUGGUGUUGGAUCUGGAGGCUGUGGCUGGAUUCCUUCUUCAAGCGUUCCUCUGUGGCCUGUGGGAAAAAGUGGGAACAAGAAGGCAUGAAAGUGGGCAUGAGGGUGGGAGACCUGACUCCUUUGCCAAGCUCUUCUGAGCCAGGAUGCUCUGAACACUCGCACUCUCCCAUGGAGGGCUUAUCAGGCUACAGAGAAUGCUGUAGCAAUGGCCUGGCCACAGCAGCCAUUUUGCACCAGGUGAACCACCUCCUUCCACAGCUGAUUGGGCCAGAGUGGACACCUGUUCUAACCUGGGCCAAUCAAAGUUCCUUUAAUGUAAAUUUGACAUGAAGAGGUGGGAGAUAGAGCAAAAGAGACUGACAGACAGAUACUGACUCUGUGGCUCCAAAUUUACCAUACUCAGGAGCACUAAGGUAACUAUCUGACAUCUGCCCCAGGACUAGUGUGGUGAUGGCUGCUGUCUGUGGAGGAAGCCCAGGGCUGGUGUGCACAGCAGAGCAGAAUGACAUAGGGAAGGGUGAGGGGUCCCUACAGCUUUUCAGUCCAUGCUCUUGUUUGGUCCUGAGAACUGUCUGUGUCUCUGUCCUUGGGUUCAUAUUCAUUCAUUCUUUUUUUCCCUACUUUUUAUUUUUGGUUCAUUCACGCUUUCACUCAACAAACAUUUAUUUACUGAAGUCCCACUGUGUGUCAAACACCCAAAGCAAGUUCUGUGAGCAGCUGGGUAAACUUUAAUAAGUGUCUCUUCACUGCCUGCCUAACUUCACUCAAGCUGGUUUCUGUGAGAGGCACAAAAACAACCCCUAAGAUGUCCAUGUCUGAAAACUGAGUAUGUUACCUUACAUGGUCAAAGGGACUUUGCAGAUGUGAUUAAGGAUCUUAGAUGGGAGAUUAUCCUGAAAUAUCUGGGUGGGCCUCAAUCACAAGGGUCCUUAUAAGAGGGCCGUAGGAGGCUCAGUGAGAAAAGAGUUGAUGGUGGAAGCAGAGGUCAGAGAGGGAGGGGGAGGGGGAUUUGAAGCUGCUACACUUUUGGCUUUGAUAAUGCAGGAAGGGACCAGAAGCCACGGAACUCAGGCGGCCUCUAGAAGGUGGAAAAGGCAAGGACACAGAUUCUCCUCUGGAGUCUUUAGAAGGAACCAGCCCUGCCAAUUCCUUGAUUUUUGGAUUUCUGACCUCUAGAAUUGUCAGAUAAUAAAUCUGUGUUGUUUUAAGCCA